rnacentral:rRNA from 1 species
ACACAUGCAGUCGAACGAGAGAAGAGAAGCUUGCUUUUCUGAUCUAGUGGCGGACGGGUGAGUAACACGUGAGCAAUCUGCCUUUCAGAGGGGGAUACCGAUUGGAAACGAUCGUUAAUACCGCAUAAUAUAAUUGAACCGCAUGAUUUGAUUAUCAAAGAUUUAUCGCUGAAAGAUGAGCUCGCGUCUGAUUAGCUAGUUGGUAAGGUAACGGCUUACCAAGGCGACGAUCAGUAGCCGGACUGAGAGGUUGAUCGGCCACAUUGGGACUGAGACACGGCCCAGACUCCUACGGGAGGCAGCAGUGGGGAAUAUUGCACAAUGGAGGAAACUCUGAUGCAGCGAUGCCGCGUGAGGGAAGAAGGUUUUAGGAUUGUAAACCUCUGUCUUCAGGGACGAAAAAAGACGGUACCUGAGGAGGAAGCUCCGGCUAACUACGUGCCAGCAGCCGCGGUAAUACGUAGGGAGCGAGCGUUGUCCGGAAUUACUGGGUGUAAAGGGAGCGUAGGCGGGAUCGCAAGUCAGAUGUGAAAACUAUGGGCUUAACCCAUAAACUGCAUUUGAAACUGUGGUUCUUGAGUGAAGUAGAGGUAAGCGGAAUUCCUAGUGUAGCGGUGAAAUGCGUAGAUAUUAGGAGGAACAUCAGUGGCGAAGGCGGCUUACUGGGCUUUAACUGACGCUGAGGCUCGAAAGCGUGGGGAGCAAACAGGAUUAGAUACCCUGGUAGUCCACGCCGUAGACGAUGAUUACUAGGUGUGGGGGGACUGACCCCUUCCGUGCCGCAGCAAACGCAAUAAGUAAUCCACCUGGGGAGUACGACCGCAAGGUUGAAACUCAGAGGAAUUGACGGGGGCCCGCAC